rnacentral:tRNA from 1 species
GAGGUGGUCGUCUAAUGGUUAGGACGCUUACAUUUUAAGUAACUUUUGGUUACUCACAAAACUAAAAUGUAUCUGAGUUUCAUUCAGGGAAUCUGGGUUCGAAUCCCAGCUGCCUCA